GCCUGGCUAGCUCAGUCGGUAAAGCAUGACACUCUUAAUCUCAGGGUCGUGGGUUCGAGCCCCAUGUUGGGUG
rnacentral:tRNA from 1 species